rnacentral:rRNA from 1 species
GAUGAACGCUGGCGGCGUGCCUAAUACAUGCAAGUCGAGCGAACGGACGAGAAGCUUGCUUCUCUGAUGUUAGCGGCGGACGGGUGAGUAACACGUGGAUAACCUACCUAUAAGACUGGGAUAACUUCGGGAAACCGGAGCUAAUACCGGAUAAUAUUUUGAACCGCAUGGUUCAAAAGUGAAAGACGGUCUUGCUGUCACUUAUAGAUGGAUCCGCGCUGCAUUAGCUAGUUGGUAAGGUAACGGCUUACCAAGGCAACGAUGCAUAGCCGACCUGAGAGGGUGAUCGGCCACACUGGAACUGGGACGCGGUCCAGACUCCUACGGGAGGCAGCAGUAGGGAAUCUUCCGCAAUGGGCGAAAGCCUGACGGAGCAACGCCGCGUGGGUGAUGAAGGUCUUCGGAUCGUAAACCUCUGUUACUAGGGAAGAACAUAUGUGUAAGUAACUGUGCACAUCUUGACGGUACCUAAUCAGAAAGCUACGGCUAACUACGUG